rnacentral:misc_RNA from 1 species
GAUGAAGAACGCAGCGAAAUGCGAUAAGUAAUGUGAAUUGCAGAAUUCAGUGAAUCAUCGAAUCUUUGAACGCACCUUGCGCCCUUUGGCUAUUCUGAAGGGCAUGCCUGUUUGAGUAUCGUGAACACCUCAACUCUCAUGGUCUGCCAUGAUGAGCUUGGACUUUGGGGGUCUUGCUGGCCUACUGUCAGCUCCUCUCAAAUGAAUCAGCUUACCAGUGUUUGGUGGCACCACAGGUGUGAUAACUAUCUAAGCUUGUGGUUUUCUGCCAGGUAACCUCCAGUGAUGGAGGUUCGCUGGAGCUCACAAAUGUCUCUCCUCAGCGAGGACAGCUUUUUGAACGUUUGAUCUCAAAUCAGGUAGGACUACCCGCUGAACUUAAGCAUAUCAAUAAGCGGAGGA